GACGAACGCUGGCGGCAGGCCUAACACAUGCAAGUCGAACGCACAGCCAGGGCAUCGGCGGACGGGUGGGUAGCGCGUGGGGAGGUACCCUUUGCUGCGAAAUAGCCUCGGGAAACUGGGAGUAAUACCGAAUGUGUGCUUCGGGCGGAAGGUUUAUCGUCAAGGGUUCGGGCCGCGUGGGAUUAGGUGCGUGGUGGGGUAAUGGCCUACCAAGCCGACGUUGCAUAGCUGGUGUGAGAGGAGGAUCAGACACACUGGGACUGAGACACGGCCCAGACUCCUACGGGAGGCAGGAGUGGGGAAUCUUAGACAAUGGGCGCAAGCCUGACCUCGCCAUGCCGGGUGAGCGAUGAAGGCGUUAGGGUUGUAAAGCUCUUUCAGGGGGGAAGAUAAUGACUGUACCCCCAGAAGAAGCCCCGGCUAACUCCGUG
rnacentral:rRNA from 1 species